rnacentral:rRNA from 1 species
UACGGAGGGGGCUAGCGUUGUUCGGAAUUACUGGGCGUAAAGCGUACGUAGGCGGCUUUGUAAGUUAGAGGUGAAAGCCCGGGGCUCAACUCCGGAAUUGUCUUUAAGACUGCAUCGCUUGAAUCAUGGAGAGGUGAGUGGAAUUCCGAGUGUAGAGGUGAAAUUCGUAGAUAUUCGCAAGAACACCAGUGGCGAAGGCGGCUCACUGGCCCGAUACUGACGCUGAGGCACGAAAGCGUGGGGAGCAAACAGG